GAAAUAUAUUUCUCACAGCCCUGGAGGCUGUAAAUCCAAGAUCAAGGUGUUAGCAGAGUUAGUUUCUACUGAAACCUUUUCUGCUUGCCUUGUAGACUCCCAUAUUCCCU
ensembl:miRNA predicted gene, 44338